rnacentral:misc_RNA from 1 species
AGUUGAGAGGCGUAUUGUUUCUCAGCUACUGACACUGAUGGACGGCUUGAAAUCCCGUGCACAUGUUAUUGUUAUGGGUGCUACAAAUAGGCCCAACAGUAUUGAUCCAGCACUUAGAAGGUUUGGGAGGUUUGAUCGGGAGAUUGAUAUCGGUGUACCAGAUGAAAUUGGACGUCUUGAAGUACUUCGUAUUCAUACCAAGAACAUGAAGUUAGCUGAAGACGUUGAUCUUGAAAGGAUAUCCAAGGAUACUCAUGGAUAUGUUGGUGCAGAUCUGGCUGCAUUGUGCACUGAAGCUGCCCUUCAAUGUAUUCGAGAAAAAAUGGAUGUUAUUGAUCUUGAAGAUGAAACUAUUGAUGCUGAAAUUUUGAACUCGAUGGCUGUCACUAAUGAACAUUUCAAGACUGCUCUGGGAACCAGCAAUCCCUCUGCUCUCCGCGAAACAGUCGUCGAAGUUCCAAAUGUCAGCUGGGAAGAUAUUGGUGGCCUCGAAAAUGUUAAAAGGGAGCUACAAGAGACUGUUCAAUACCCUGUUGAGCAUCCUGAGAAGUUCGAAAAGUUUGGGAUGUCCCCAUCCAAGGGUGUUCUGUUCUAUGGUCCGCCUGGAUGCGGUAAGACGCUGCUGGCCAAGGCCAUUGCGAAUGAAUGUCAGGCG